rnacentral:rRNA from 1 species
GAUGAACGCUGGCGGCGUGCCUAAUACAUGCAAGUCGAGCGAAUGGAUUAAGAGCUUGCUCUUAUGAAGUUAGCGGCGGACGGGUGAGUAACACGUGGGUAACCUGCCCAUAAGACUGGGAUAACUCCGGGAAACCGGGGCUAAUACCGGAUAAUAUUUUGAACUGCAUGGUUCAAAAUUGAAAGGCGGCUUCGGCUGUCACUUAUGGAUGGACCCGCGUCGCAUUAGCUAGUUGGUGAGGUAACGGCUCACCAAGGCAACGAUGCGUAGCCGACCUGAGAGGGUGGUCGGCCAACCUGGGACUGGGACACGGCCCAGACUCCGACGGGAGGCAGCAGUAGGGAAUCUUCCGGAAUGGACGAAAGUCUGACGGAGCAACGCCGCGUGAGUGAUGAAGGCUUUCGGGUCGUAAAACUCUGUUGUUAGGGAAGAACAAGUGCUAGUUGAAUAAGCUGGCACCUUGACGGUACCUAACCAGAAAGCCACGGCUAACUACGUGCCAGCCGCCGCCGUAA